rnacentral:piRNA from 1 species
GUGAUGAUGAAGUAACAGAAGC